UAGACAUGAGACUGGUUCUUUGUAACACGAUAAAUCCUUAGUCGACGGAGUCAAAUAAAUCUUUCGAAUAUACGAUAAGAAUCCAAUGUCUCACGCGAGGUGGUAUUUAUUACCACACCUACAACCCUAUAUUUGGAACCAGGAAGAGUUUCACAAUUACUCUUUUUGGCUGGAUUUUAUAAGUGCUGCCAUCUAGCAAAAACGCUAUGAACCACGUCGAAAUGAAGGCUUCGCCGCUACCGAAUAAGUUUCUGAAAUUCACCACGGCUCCUUGGGUGGCCUCCACGUAACGGACAGUACAUUAGCAUAACUGUCAAAAUUAUAUCAAUUUUGUCACAGUACGUUUAGUACUAAACGAGGACAACAAGAUUUCCAGAUGAAAUGGAGUUUGGUGGGAGUAAGAAGAGAAUAUGAACGGAAAAGAGAUGGAGACUUAAAGUUCAGCUUAAUAUAAUUGGGUAUAUUGGUACAAGUUGACAAUACUGAAGAACAAUUCAAUGACAGAAGUAAAUGAUGAAUUUAUAUAUUAUUUCUGAAGGAAUACAUUAACUCACUGAAUCAACAAAUUAGUAAGAAUAGGUAACUCAAUACAUUGUCAUGAUAACUAUAAAUAACCAAUAUUGUAUUGUCCAAGAGUGUUACUACCGCUCCAGCACCUAAAAUAGAACGACAAAUACAGGAUCUCAUAGCGCCAACAUUUCUAAAGCCAGAUACAUAUUAGAUUAAGAAACCGAAGAAAAAAGGAAAAACAAAAUUGAAAACAAGCCAUUGUUAUGUUAUACGAAGGUUGAACGAGGAAAAGGCAAUCUACAUGGAGGGUUUGCACCGGACGCCUGCGAGAUGAGGAAAUAAGAAUUCAUCCUUUCACGCUGCGGGGGGUUGGGUGGGCUUCAGCGGGGUUUGGGGGGGUUGAAGGCUAGGGGUGUGAAGACGGACGACGCCGUUCCAAAAUCCCAUUAUACGAACAGGAGCUGUUUUCUAUCUUGGGAUGGAGACUCCACCGACCCACUCCCGGUGCGAUUUCCAACUUUGUUUAUGAAAAUUACCCAUUAAAAUAGCAAUGAAAGUAAUGCUUUUACUCACGAAAUUAAUUACGAAAUUGAUAUAGAUUUUUAUUGAGGGUACGUUUGGGUUGUCAGUGGUCCGCUGUUAUUUCCUUUACUUACGAUUGAUAUAAUAUUUUUAAAGUAGCUUAAUUGUUUUAUUUAAAUAACUAGCUGACCCGGCAAACGUUGUUUUGCCAUAUAAAGUAUAAUUCACGCUAUAGUUUUAUAAGUAAUAAAAUAUUGCCUAUAUUAUAGCCUGUACAUCAUUUUGUUCUAUUGUCAAUAGUUUCUGCAG